GAUGAACGCUGGCGGCGUGCUUAACACAUGCAAGUCGAACGGUGAAGGCGGAUUUUGCUUUGUUGGAUCAGUGGCGAACGGGUGAGUAAUACGUGAGCAAUCUGUCCCUGACUCUGGGAUAAGCGCUGGAAACGGCGUCUAAUACUGGAUACGAGCUGCGCAGGCAUCUUCAGCAGCUGGAAAGAAUUUUGUUCAGGGAUGAGCUCGCGGUCUAUUAGCUUGUUGGUGAGGUAAUGGCUCACCAAGGCGUCGAUGGGUAGCCGGCCUGAGCGGGUGACCGGCCACACGGGAACUGGAACACGGCCCGAACUCCAACGGGAGGAGGCGGUGGGAAAAUUGGCACAUGGGGCGAAGGCCUAAGGCAGAAACGCCGCGGGGGGAACGACGGCCUUCGGUUUGUAAACCUCUUUUGGCAGGGAAGAAGCGGAAGUGACGGUACCUGCAGAAGAAGCACCGGCUAACUACGUG
rnacentral:rRNA from 1 species